AUUGAACGCUGGCGGCAUGCUUUACACAUGCAAGUCGAACGGUAACAGGCCUUCGGGUGCUGACGAGUGGCGAACGGGUGAGUAAUGCAUCGGAACGUGCCCAAUCGUGGGGGAUAACGUAGCGAAAGUUACGCUAAUACCGCAUAAGCCCUGAGGGGGAAAGCAGGGGAUCGCAAGACCUUGCGCGAAUGGAGCGGCCGAUGUCAGAUUAGCUAGUUGGUGGGGUAAAGGCCUACCAAGGCGACGAUCUGUAGCGGGUCUGAGAGGAUGAUCCGCCACACUGGGACUGAGACACGGCCCAGACUCCUACGGGAGGCAGCAGUGGGGAAUUUUGGACAAUGGGCGCAAGCCUGAUCCAGCCAUGCCGCGUGCGGGACGAAGGCCUCGGUUGUAACCGACUUCUAGCGGAAACGAAAUACGCCAAGGACGUAAUAAUACCUUGGUGGAGUGACGGUACCGGAACGAAG
rnacentral:rRNA from 1 species